GAGUGAUCGAAAGAUGAAAAGCACUUUGAAAAGAGAGUUAAACAGCACGUGAAAUUGUUGAAAGGGAAGCGCUUGCGACCAGACUCGCCGACGGGGUUCAGCCGGGAUUCGUCCCGGUGUACUUCCCCGCCGGCGGGCCAGCGUCGGUUUGGGCGGCCGGUCAAAGGCCUCCGGAAUGUAUCGCCCCCCGGGGCGUCUUAUAGCCGGAGGUGCAAUGCGGCCUGCCCGGACCGAGGAACGCGCUUCGGCACGGACGCUGGCAUAAUGGUCGUAAGCGAC
rnacentral:rRNA from 1 species